UGACCGUUGGUAGAGUCGCCACCGCGGUUUGAACUGUGGGAACCGCCAGCGUGUCCAAGAACGCCCAGCUGAUUGAUCCGCGUGAAGUGGUGGCGGUGCAGCAAAUACCGUUCCGAUGAUUGAAGUAAACCACGGUCGAUCAGAUUGUUACCAGGUAAGACGUUCAGCAAACUCAAAUUUCAAAGCAAUCAACGUAAGACCCACCCCAGAGUAUAAAAAAACCUCCAACCGACACUGUACAAAACAAACUCGUGCUCAACGCUUGCCGCCAAACUUGAAAGAAAGUGAAAAUCGAAUCAAUUCGUUGAGGAUCGCAGUGCUGAGCUUCUUCAUAAACGACCUCCCUCCCCCUUGCACAUCGUUGCUGCCAGACCACCGCGCAUUUUUUUUUGUUUGGACGGUCCAACAGGUUCCCGAGAUGAGAUAAUUCACUCUCGAUGGCUCUGACCACCACGACUGUGGUGGUGGCAGCCAGCAGCAAUCUCGGUAGUAAAUCGCCAUCAAUUGCUUGGUUUGGUGGAUGUCACGAGAGGGGUGAUCAUGAAGAGGGUGGUAGAUGGACAUAUUUUCGGGUUAAAAACACUUUAUAUUCUGUUUUCAAAGUUUUUCUAUAUAAAAAAAAUCUGGCAGCCCUGUCACUAGAAUUUUUAUGUUUCAGUUAAAUCAAAAGGAACAAAUUUCAAGAUUUUCAUGUUUCUACAAACUUAACAAACAAAUUUAAAAUAUAGUCUUACAAACAAAACUGAAGUUUAAGGUCCAAAAUCUGCCCCCUCACCCUACAAAUAAUUUAAUUGCACGCGAUCGAUGAAAAACGUUCCGCGCGUGGGUCGCGAUCUUCAAAGACCAAAACUAUCAUCGGCGGCUUCAUCUUCAUCGUCGUUACAUUAUGAGCAUCGUGCGUUGAUUCGCGUUUUUAACUGCUCUCUUCAGUUUGUUGAUUCAGGUUUGCCCGCGCCCGCCAAACUACAGCGGGGAAAGCAUGAUGCCGGCGCAACCGCAAGCCAGUGUGGACAUAAAUUAUGUCAAUUAAUUAGCCCCCUGGUCGUGAUGAACGGCACGCGUUUCUUGCGAUUUUGAGAGGGAGGGCGGUUUGGCGAAUUUGCGUGCGAUUUUGCAAUUAGUGAAAUUUGAUGGUGAUGACUCUUUUAUCAAAGAUGUCAUUUGAAUACUUAAUAUUACAAACAUUUUGUGUUUCCAGUUAAAGAUAUAUUAAAUUAAUUUAAUUAAU